CUAAUUUCCUAAUACACACUAGCGAACCCACAGUCUCAUUCUUCUCUAAAGUUUGAAACGGUACCCCUCUCUCUCCCCAUUCUCUGUCGACUCCGGUGAGCGGCCGCCCUGAAUCGCAGCCUCCCUCUGGCGCGAAGAGGUCGGCCCCUGUUCUUCCUCCUCCUCUCCUUCCCUUUUGUGCCCUAUUUUUUCCCCAAGAACAAAAUCCUCAAUUUCUAGGGUUUUCAGCCUCUCUUUCCUCUCUGAAUUUCGCCCCUCCGGCGAAUCCCGCCACUACCACCGCCGCCUCGCACAACUGCUCCCUGCCUCAGAUUUGGGGAUAACCAUCCAUUUUGACUGCAUUUUCCAAGAGCUUCAAGACUAAUUGCAGAUGGUGGGAUAUGGAUGGGCUGGGAUGUUGAGAAAAUACUUGGUUGAUCCAGUUGAGAUGUGGUGGCCUUCCAAUGUCACGCAAGUUUCCUUGUUUAGGUGAACUCGCUCGUGUUGGUGGAGGCUCAUUAGUGUAAUUGAGUUUAUCAUCUUGGCGGAUCAAGUAGAUGGGAGUCGAUGAGCUAUGAGGACUACUACAAAAGAGAAGGCUGAAGCAGAGAACGUCGUUUCAAAUGUCUAGCAAGUUGCGCGCAUUUGUAAUAUUUUUUAAUUAAUCAUAUAGCUAACUAGAAUAUUUGUGUUUGUUUUCAUUAUAUUUGGAUGAUAAUGUAUGAAUAUUUCGGAUAUUAUAUAAUAUAUGUUAUCGAUGGCAA